rnacentral:rRNA from 1 species
AGUGAACGCUGGCGGUAGGCCUAACACAUGCAAGUCGAACGGCAGCACAGUAAGAGCUUGCUCUUACGGGUGGCGAGUGGCGGACGGGUGAGGAAUACAUCGGAAUCUACUUUUUCGUGGGGGAUAACGUAGGGAAACUUACGCUAAUACCGCAUACGACCUACGGGUGAAAGCAGGGGAUCUUCGGACCUUGCGCGAUUGAAUGAGCCGAUGUCGGAGUAGCUAGUUGGCGGGGUAAGGGCCCACCAAGGCGACGAUCCGUAGCUGGUCUGAGAGGAGGAUCAGCCACACUGGAACUGAGACACGGUCCAGACUGCUACGGGAGGCAGCAGUGGGGAAUAUUGGACAAUGGGCGCAAGCCUGAUCCAGCCAUACCGCGUGGGUGAAGAAGGCCUUCGGGUUGUAAAGCCCUUUUGUUGGGAAAGAAAAGCAGCAGGUUAAUACCCCGCUGUUCUGACGGUACCCAAAGAAUAAGCACCGGCUAACUUCGUG